rnacentral:rRNA from 1 species
AUUGAACGCUGGCGGCCGGCCUAACACAUGCAAGUCGAGCGAGCGGCGGACGGGUGAGUAAUGUAUGGGGACUGCCCGAUAGAGGGGGAUAACUUUUGUAAACGGUAGCUAAUACCGCAUACUAUCGUAUCACCCAUAUGGGAUUAGCUAGUAGGUGAGGUAAUGUCUCACCUAGGCUACGAUCCCUAGCUGGUCUGAGAGGAUGAUCAGCCACACUGGGACUGGGACACGGCCACGACUCCUACGGAGGCAGCAGUGGUGAAUAUUGGACAAUGGGCGCAAGCCUGAUGCAGCCAUGCCGCGAGAAUGAAGAAGGCCCUAGGGUUGUGAAGUACUUUCAGUCGGGAGGCGUGACCGACAGAAGAAGCACCGGCUAACUCCGUGCCAGCAGCCGCGGUAAUUC